GUAGUAACGUUCGAAUUUGCCAUAAUGUUAACGUCUCGUGAAAAUUUCGUGAAAAUAAUUCAGUGUUUUAGACAAGUGAAAGUGUGUGAAAUCAAAGUUUGAUAUUAAUUAUAAUUAAGUGUUAAUAAACUUUGUCGUCUUUCGUAUUCCUUUGUGCAUUUUUUCGACAAUCGAUACGAACAACAAUAUGCGUCAAUUGCAAUGAACUUCACACAAGGUGAUCGAAUCAAGAAAACAGGAGCGAAGGACGCCGCGAUUGGUGAGUCAAAAACGAACUUGCUUGAUUCGUCUGUUACGAAUCUCUGUCUCUGCUAAUUUUGAAGUAUAUCGAUGAAAGGAG